rnacentral:misc_RNA from 1 species
AACUUUUGGCUAUGGAUCUCUUGGCUCUCGCAUCGAUGAAGAACGCAGCGAAAUGCGAUACGUAAUGUGAAUUGCAGAAUUCAGUGAAUCAUCGAAUCUUUGAACGCACCUUGCGCCCCUUGGCAUUCCGAGGGGCACACCCGUUUGAGUGUCGUGAAAUUCUCAAACCUUCUUGGUUUCUUGAUCAAGAUGGCUUUGGACUUUGGAGGCAUUUUGCUGGCUUUGCGAAAAGCCAGCCCCUCUUAAAUCCAUGAGUGGGAUCCCCUUUGCCGAUCCACAGGCGUGAUAAGAUAUAUAUACGUCUUGGGAUUUGCCCUGUUCCUUGUGAACCCGCUUCCCUCCGUCUCAUGGGAGACAUCGUUCGAGUUUGCUCGACCCACGACCCUUGACCUCUAAACGCGUGAGACUACCCGCUGAACCUAAGCAUAUCAAUAAGCGGAGGCU